ACUUCCCGUUGGACCUGAGAACAAAACUCUGGUCACAAUCGCAAACUUCAAUGCUCCACUUCCUGGCAUUACUCCCACCAUCCCCCCUUCCCUCUCUCCUUCCACAUAAUUGUACAUUCCCGUCCGUUAUCCCUCAUCUUUCCUCGAAAGAAAAAUCCUGAUGAAAUUCCCACAGGACCAACCAAAAUGAGGCCGUUUCUCAGCUCAGGGACCCCCCCCCCCCCCUGUAUGUACUUUGCCUGUCGCUGCAAUGUCAGAUUAGGAUCAGUCCGUGAGUAGUUCCUGGCAAUGCUGAUAUUUCUGUGGCGAUAAAUUAAUUGUACUGUUUUUUUUUUUUUACGUUGGCUCGGACUUAUUUUUGUCUUAAAUGGUGUGUGCGGGGAAAAGGGGUGUGGUAUCUGUCAUGAUGUUGAAGUGGUUUUAAACAGACUAUUAACAUUUUUAGAGCGUGUGUGUGGGCGAGACAUGGUGUGUGAAAUCUGUCAGUUUGUUGAAGCGGGUUUAAACGUGUUUUGGCAAUUUGUUUCAGGGUGUUCUUGGUAGUAGGCCAAGUGUGUCAGGAUUUAGAAGGGGGUGCAGUGUUUUUAAUCUUUUUUAGACUAUGCGCUGGAGAGGGGGUGUGCCAACUGAGUCAGGAUGUUGAAGGGUGGUUUUUUUAGGGUGCGUGUGGGACACAAGAGUAAGCGCACCUAACUCUUGGUAUGUUAAAUGGGGGGCAUGGCUUUAACCGGACUUUGCUUUGAUAUUUUUUUAGGAUGUGUGCAGGGGAGUGGGGGUGCGGCGACAGGCGCCGUCCACGUGGAACACCCACCUGACAUUGUCCUGCGCGGACGAGCGGCGCCUGAACAGGUUGGCCAUGCUGCUCGACGGCUUGGCUGCCUUGGCGGCCUUCUUGGCGUCGCCCACGUGCAUGCGCACCACCGUGGACGUGGUGAAGGCGCUGCGCACGUUCUUCUCCGGCUUGGCCAGCAUGAUGUACACCUGAUGGCGCGGAAUGCAAGCUCAAAACGGCGGGGGAUAGUUUAGUGAGGAGCGGCUGCGGUGGUUACCUUAGGCAAGAACAUGCAGCAGAGCGCCACGGUGGCACUGAGGCUGACACUGAAGCACAUGGUGAUGAUCUUGUAGUUGGAGCCAAAGUAGAUGGGCACAAAGGCCAGCCAGAUGAUGCAGGUGGUGUACAUGGUGAAGGCGAUGUACUUGGCCUCGUUAAAGUUGGCCGGAACGUUACGAGUCUGCGCCGAGAAAAGAAGAAACCCUGCAGAGAUCGUAUCGACUAGACGUAGUUCAUGUGCAUUCGUACCUUGAAGGCGUAGAAGGUGCAGCUGAGGAUGAGCAGGCCGUUGUAGCCCAAUGGCGCCACCACCCCGAGAGUGGUCAGGUUGCAGAUCAAGUGCACUUCACGUAUGCUGGGGUAGUCAUGAAUCACCUGAGGAGCGCAUUUAAUGUUUUACAUCAAACUUUUUAAUACAAACGCCCGCUUCAACAUUUGGUGCACCCCCUCUUCCUCUCAAAAAGCCCGGGAAAAAAAUGGCAGAGCAAAGACCGUUUAAAGCCACGCACCACCUUCACCAUCAUGACAAAGUCGCCGCACAGCCUCUCUUCAUCCCCGGUGAAAUUGUUGAAAGAAAUCCACACACCUCCCUUUGACAUCCUGCACACCCACCUCUGGGGGCUCGAUGACAAGCAGCGCCACAAUGAUGGCGAGCUGCAGCAGAAUGAGCAGGAAGGCGAUGACCAGCUGAGCGCAGGCGGACAUGAAGCGAGGCUUCUUGGUGCAGAUCUUCUUCUUGCUGCCUGCCAGGAUGCGAGCGAUGCGAUUGGUCUGCGUUCCAAAAUAGAUCAAGUGCUUAUUGAGCGGUUGAGCACAAAGAUAUAAAUGCAUAUAUAUAAUCCCCCUUCCUCACUCCCACUACAACAUGUACCCCAGCCAACAUAGAACAAAUAUAAUGCAGUCCAUGUCGCUUUCAUCCUCACAUGGCCUCCUACAGUUUAUUCUUCACUUUUAGACAGAACUGGAAAUAACAUGCAUCUAAAGGAUUAACACCACAAUGCUUUUUCAUUAGCUUCAGUGUGCUGCUACAGCAGCGCAGAUGGUUACCAGCGUUGGCAAAAAGAGGGAAAAAUGUGAUGAUCCAAAUAGAAGCAGAAAUGCAGAUGCUGACGUAAAAAACCCGAAUUAUCUACUACACGACAGUUGUGUCGAUAAUGCAUCUUGAAUGGGUCCUGGGCGUGCUGGAGCCUAUCCCAGCUUUCUUCGGCCGAGAGGCGGGGUACACCCUGAACUGGUCGCCGGCCAAUCGCAGGGCACAUAGAAACAAACAACCAUUCACACUCACAUUCACACCUACGGGCAAUUUAGAGUCCUCAAUUAACCUACCAUGCAUGUUUUUUGGGGCGUGGGAGGAAACCGGAGUACCCGGAGAAAACCCCCGCAGGCACGGGAGAACACGCAAACUCCACACAGGCGGGGGCGGGAUUUGAACCCGCGUCCUCAGAACUGUGAGGGAGAUGUGCUAACCAGUUGCCCACCGUGUCACAUAUUUUCAUAUAGUAUCUCAUUAAAAAAAAAAAAAGAAAUAUAGUUUUACUCUAGUUUAGUUGCAUCUAUUAUUCUUAUAUAUUUAAAACAAACAUUAAAAAAUGUAAAAUAUUUAAAUACAAAAUCGAAAAAUUCCAGCAUAUAGUUUUUUACAUUAUUUUGGUUAUUUUUAAAAUGUAUUUGUUAUGCAGGUUAGAUUGUUCAAAUGUUGUUUAAAAACUUAAUACAAGUUUUAUGUUGCCGAUGUUUUGACCCUGGAAGGGAUUAUUUGUCAGGCUUUUUUUUUUUUUUUUUUUUUUAAAGACUGAGUGGUUUUAUUUCAUUUCAGUUUUAUUAUACAGGACUUCACCUAUUUCAACGUUAAGAAUGUUUAAAAGUUGAUUAAAUCACAUGCACGGUACCACUUUAUGAUGGUGACAGAUUAACGUUUCAUUUAGUUCUAUUUAUUCUAAUUACGCAGUGGUUUAACAUUGUUUCCUGUGGGAAAUUAGAACAACUUGCAAUAUUUUGUUCAGCUUUGGAGGUGAUGGCGGAUAGGUAAACAGGAAGUGACACUUUGCACCUUGGUGACCAGGGCGGAGUAGCUCAUGGCGGGCGACAGGCCGAUGCCGAGCCUCUGCAGGUAGCAGUAGACGAGGUGCGGCUUGGCGAUCAGGCUGAACGUGCAUGCGUAGCCCAGACAAAUGCCCGCCAGGAUGAUGUAGCACAGCUCGCGGCUGGACGACUUCACCACCGGCGUGUCCCAGAACCUGUCGGCCAAGCGGAUGACGGCGAGAGUCACGUGACUGCUCUGGAGUUGCUGGUACCGUAUGGACAAUGUUGUGUUGGUCAUUCAUGUGGCCAGGCUUGUUAGCAACCCAGCAGUUUAAGAGAGGAGCAAGACUUACAAAACAAACGGGCCCUUUUGACUUACUUGAUGAAGACGGCAGUGACAAAGAACGUGGCCAGUAGGCCCAGACAGGCGAACACGACGGCGGCGAUGGGUUCUGGAUCUCCCCAGCGCACGUACUGCACCGGGAUUGGCUCGCAACCUGUGCGCAGAAAAAACCCGGAAAAUUCCAUCAUUGGGUUUUUGUGCAUGUGAUUUAAAAACAUUUUUUUGGGUAGUAUUUUAAAUUUUUUUUACCACGCAAGUCGUCAGUGGGCCACGAGCCCAGCAUGCAGGCGCGACACGUGUACUCGUCGAAAACAAACUCGUUGUCCUUGCAGGGCGUGCAUGUCCAGCAGCAGCUCACCUCACCUUUGCGGAUCACCUGCCAACAUCGUUCAAAAUCGGCUACACAAACACUUUAAAUUCUGAUUUUGAAAAUUGGAAACAAAAAAAAGUCACUGAGGCUUUCAAGAUGAAUUGUGACGACGAGCGCAGCUACUGCGGUCACUUAAAAUCAACAGUUUGCUUGUUUUUAUCUGACAUAAAGCAGUUAAUUACAAAUCAACAGUGUUAUUGUUUUGAUAUAAGACACAAAUGCAGUGUUGCCUUGAGAUAUGAGUGUAACUGAUUCUGUAACCAUGCUUGGAGCUCAAAACACCAUGGAAAUUCCAUUAAUCAGUUCCAGCCUCCCCUGCAAAAAAUAAAUACAAUUGUGAUGCUACUUUA